CCCCGAGCGGAAGUGGCUGUGACUCCACUGAUCGUCGGGACUACAUUUCCCAGAAUCCCCGGGACCCGCCUGCAAACGGACCAAGACUCCUCCGAGCGUUUGGACUAACACUCAGAAUGCUGAGGGAAAAACGUCCAGAAUCUCAACGUUCAGGGGAAGGCGUUGAUACUCCGCGGUGCUCCUUGACUACGCUUUCCGAAAUGCCCAUGGGGAACGAAUCCUAUAUCCCUGAGCGCCCAGUAGGGUAUAUGGACUGUGACCCUGAAAGUCGUCUUUCCUCCCUCUCCUUGAGUCCUUGAGUGAAAAUACUGAACAGACAGGAAUUCCUGAAGUCUAAACGCCUCCCAGGACUACAGGAAUGUUAUUGGAAAGAGAACAAACGAGGAGAUACAACCUUGAGGAAAUAAACAGGGAAUGUCGGGGUCAGUAGUUAAUUGAAAGAAAGCUAAUGAUUGCUAUAAACUGAUAGUAUGAGGCUAAAAGUUUAAAAAAUGAGCAAAGUACAGUGGUUUGGGAGAGGCAAUGAAGAACGAAGGUGCUGGCCCCUACUCCGGAAGCUGUGAUACCACUGGUUUGCCCGGCAAAACAAUCAUCAUUUGAGAGGGAGAAGGACAGAGAAACCUGGGGUGGUGAUGUGCGGAGACGGGAAGAGGUCAACUGGCUGCAGAUGAAUGAAUAUGCUCCCUACAAAAAGCUCCAAGACAAGAUCAUCAUGGCAGACGGAAGGCAGGACUAGACUGCAGUACCGACUCAUAUGGACAGAAUAGCGUACAGAGGCUCCCAUUGUGAAUUUUACCUCUAGAUUGACUGCAAGAACAAACCAGCAAUCCUAAGAGGUCACACAGACCCUCUGAAGGAAGCAGACUGCUCCUGCAGGACCCUGGAGACACCCCAAAUACUGUGAAUGUCCCAACUGUGGAAGUGAGAAAGAGCCUCUUGUCCUGAACACAUAACCUCACUGGAGAAACUGAAGGUCUUUUUGUGGCAUUAGUUUCUGACCUUAGCUGGAGUUUUAGUCAAUUUAGAGAGCUGAGCAAGAUACAGGGGUAGAUGAAGCAGGAGAAAGGCAUUGAGACCUUGUUGGGUCCCAAAGCAGGUCAUUCUUGCCUGGCACCACAGGGAUAUAUCAGGAGGGUGGCCAGCAGAGCAGGGCAUGGGGAAUUCCACAGGGAGAAAGAAGUAUCCAGAUGAACUCUGUAACAAUUUGAAUGGGGCAAGAAGCCUCCCGGCCAGAAUCCAAUGUGCAGACUCCAUAGGCAGGGGAAGAACCAAGCCCUUUUCUUUUGCAGCUGAGAGGUGAGUAGCUUGGGGCAGGUUCUCAAGCCCAGCUUGCUCACCGCCUGGAAACAGACUCGAGGCUAUUGGCGGGAGCAUGGUGUGAGUGUGACCAGCCCUUUGGUUUGCAUGGGAGCUGGGUGAGGCCUGUGACUGCCAGCUUUCCCCUACUUCCCUGACAACCUGCAUGACUCAGCAGAAGCAGCCAUAAUCCUCCUAGGUACACAACUCUAGUGACCUGGGAACCUCACCUACCUCCCCAACAGCAGCUGCAGCAAGACCCACCCAAGGAGAGUUUGAGCUCAGAUAUGCCUAGCCCUCUCCCAACCUAAUUAGGGCCUUCCCUAUCCACCCUGGUAGCUGAAGACAAAGGGCAUGUAAUCUUGGGAGUUCUAGGGCCUUACCCACUGCUGAUGCUCUCCAUACUAUGAUAGCUGAUGCUUUCCGGAAAGUGACACCUCCUGGCAGGAGGCCAACCAGCAGAAAAAUAGAGCAUUAAACCACCAAAGCUAAGAAACCUCACCAAGUCCAUUGCACACCACUCCCCUAACCUGGCCACCUCCCCUGGAACAGGCUGAGAGACCCACAGACAGUUCACAUUACAGGACUCUAUGCAGACAGCCCCCAGUACCAGCCCAGAGCCAGGUGGACUUGCUGGGUGGCUAGACCCAAAAAGAGAAAACAAUCACUGCAGUUCGGACAAUACAUCCAUAGGAAAAGGGGAAGAGUACUACAUCAAGGGAACAUCACGUGGAACAGAAGAAUCUUAACAACAGCCUUCAGCCCUAGACCUUUACUCAAAUGAGAAGGAACCAGAAAACCAACUCCUGUAAUAUGACAAAACAAGGCACUUUAACAUCCACCAAAAAAAUCACACGAGUUUACCAGCAAUGGAUCCAAACCAAGAAGAAAUCCCUGAUUUACCUGAACAAAAAUUCAGGUUAGUUAUUAAGCUAAUCAAGGAGGCAUCAGAGAAAGAUGAAGCCUAGUGCAAGGAAGAAAAAAAAAAAAAAAAAGGAUAAAAUAAGCGAAGGGAGAAAUAUUCAAGAAAAUAGAUAGCCUAAAGAAAAAACAAUAUAAAAAAUUCAGAAAACAUUGGACACAACUAUAGAAAUGCAAAAUGCUCUAGAAAGUCUCGGCAAUAGAAUUGAACAAGUAGAAGAAAGAAAUUCAGGGCCUGAAGACAAGUUCUUUAAAUUAACCCAAUCCAACAAAGACAAAGAAAAAAUAAUAGGAAAAUAUGAACAAAGCCUCCAAGGAGUCUGGGAGUACGUUAAAUGACUAAACAUAAGAACAAUUAGUGUUCCUGAGGAAGAAGAGAAUUCUAAAAGCUUGGAAAACAUAUUUGGGAAAAUAAUCAAGGAAAACUUCCCCAGCCUUGCUAGAGACCUAGACAUCCAAAUAUAACAAGCACCAAGAACACCUGGGAAAUUCAUUGCAAAAAGAUCGUUGCCUACACACAUUGUCAUCAAAUUAUCCAAAGUUAAGAUGAAGGAAAGAAUCUUAAGAGCUGUAAGACAGAAGCUCCAAGUAACCUAUAAAGGAAAAUCUAUCAGAUUAAUAGCAGAUUUCUCAAUAGAAACCAUACACACUAGAAGGGAUUAGAGCCCUAUCAUCAGCCUUCUCAAACAAAACAAUUAUCAGGCAGGAAUUUUGUAUCCAGCAAAACUAAGCAUCAUAUAUGAAGGAAAGAUAGCGUCUUUUUCAGACAAAUGCUGAGAGAUUUGCUACUACCAAGCCACCACUACAGGAACUGCUAAAAGGAGCUCUAAAUCUUAAAACAAAUCCUGGAAACACAUCAAAACAGAACUUCUUUAAAGAAUAAAUCACACAGGACCUAUAAAACAAAAAUACAUAUUAAAAAGCAAAAACAAAAACACCAAAGUAGACAGGCAAUAAAUAGCAGGAUGAAUGCAACCGUACCUCACAUCUCAAUACUAACAUUGAAUGUAAAUGGUCUAAAUGAUCCACUUAAAAGAUACAGAACUGCAGAAUGGAUAAGAGCUCACCAACCAACCAUCUGCUGCCUUUGGGAGACUCACCUAACAUACAGGACUCAUAUAAACUUAAAGUAAAAGGGUGGAAAAGGCAUUUCAUGCAAAUGGACACCAAAAGCAAGCAGGGGUAGCUCUUUGUAUGUCAGCCAAAACAAACUUUAAAGCAACAGCACUUAAAAGAGACAAAGAAGGAUAUUAUAUACUGGUAAAAGGGCUUGUCCAACUGGAAAACAUCACAAUCCUAAGCAUACAUGCACCUAACACUGGAGCUCCCAAAUUUAUAAAACAGUUAUUAACAGACCUAAGAGAUGUGGUAGACAGCAACACAAUAAUAGUGGGGGACGUCAAUCCUCCACUGAUAGCACUAGACAGGUCAUUAAGACAGAAAGUCAAUAAAGAAACAAGGGAUUUAGGGGAGAAAUGCCAGAUAUAGGUGAUGGGGAGGAAGGCAGAAAAUCACACUGCCAUGUGUGUACCUAUGCAACAAUCUUGCAUGUUCUUCACAUGAACCCCAAAAUCUAAAAUGCAAUAAUUAAAAAAAAGAAAGAAAGAAACAAGGGAUUUAAACCAUAUCUUAAAACAAAUGGAUCUAACAGAUAUAUACAGAACAUUUCAUCCAACAACCGCAGAAUACACAUUCUAUUCAACAGCACAUGGAACUUUCUCCAAGACAGACCAUAUGAUCGGCCAUAAAAUGAGCCUCAAUUAAUUUAAGAAAAUUGAAAUAUCAAGCACUCUCUCAGACCACAGUGGAAUAAAACUGGAAAUCAAUUCCAACAGGAACCUUCAAAACCCUGCAAAUACAUGGAAAUUAAAUAGCCUGCUCCUGAAUGAGCAUUGGAUAAAAAAACGAAAUCAAGAUGGAAAUUAAAAAAUUAUUCAAACUGAACAACAAUAAUGACACAACCUAUCAAAAUCUCUGGGAUACAGCUAAGGUGGUGUGAGAGGAAAGUUCAUAGCCCUAAAUGCCUACAACAAAAAGACUGAAAGAGCACACACUUCCAUUCUAAGAUCACACCUCAAGGAACUAGAGAAACAAGAACAAACCAAACCCAAACCCAGCAGAAGAAAGGAAAGAACCAAGAUCAGAGCAGGACUAAAUGAAAUGGAAACAACGACAACAAAAAAUAAAAAUAAAAAAGAUAGGCCGGGCACGGUGGCUCACGCCUAUAAUCCCAGCACUUUGGGAGGCCGAGGCAGGUGGAUCACGAGGUCAAGAGAUCGAGACCAUCCUGGUCAACAAGGUGAAACCACAUCUCUACUAAAAAUACAAAAAUUAGCUGGGCAUGGUGGCGUGCGCCUAUAGUCCCAGCUACUCGGGAGGCUGAGGCAGAAGAAUUGCUUGAACCCAGACGGCGGAGGUUGCGGUGAGCCAAGAUCAUGCCAUUGCACUCCAGUCUGGGUAACAACAGCGAAACUCCAUCUCAAAAAUAAAAAAUAAAAUAAAAAAAUAAAAAAGAUAAAUGAAACAAAAAGCUGGUUAUUUGAAAAGAUAAAUAAAAUUGAUAGGCCAUUAGCAAUAUUAACCAAGAAAAGAAGCAAGAUAAUCAAAUAACCUCAUUAAGAAAUGAAACAGCAAAUAUUACAAUUGAUACCACUGGAAUACAAAAGAUCAUUCAAGGCUACUAGAAACACCUUUACACACAUAAACUAGAGAAGCUGGAAGAGGUGGAUACAUUCCUGGAAAAAUGCAAUGCUCCUAGCUUAAGUCAGGAAGAAUUAGAUACUCUGAACAGACCAGUAACAAGCAGCGAGAUUGAAAUGGGAAUUUAAAAAUUAUAAACAAAAAAAGUCCAGGACCACACAGAUUCACAGGAGAAUUCUACCAGAUGUGACACUAUUUCGCAAGAUAGAAAAAGAAGGAAGCCAGCAUCAUUCUAUGAAGCCAGCAUCACCCUUAAACCAAAACCAGAAAAGGACAUAACCAAAAAAGAAAACUAAAGACCAAUAUCCUUGAUGAUCACAGAUGCUAAGAUCCUUAACAAAAUAGUAGCUAACCUAAUCCAACAACAUAUCAAAAAGUUAAUCCAUCAUGAUCAGGUAGGUUUCAUGCCAGGGAUGCAGGGAUGGUUUAACAUACCCAAGUCAAUAAAUGUGAUACACCACAUAAACAGAAUUAAAAAUAAAAAUCACAUGAUCAUCUCAAUAGAUGCAGAAAAAGCAUUCGACAAAAUCCAGCAUCGCUUUAUGAUUAAAACUCUCAGGAAAAUCAGCAUACAAGGGACAUACCUCAAUGUAAUGAAAGCCAUCGAUGACAAACCUACAGCAGACAUAAUAAUCAUUGCCUCUGAGAAGUGGAACAAGACAAGGAUGCCCACUCUUACCACUCCUCAACACAGUACUGGAAGUCCUAGCCAAAGCAAUCAGACAAGAGAAAGAAAUAAAGGGCAUCCACUUUGGCCAGGCACGGUGGCUCAUGCCUAUAAUCCCAGCACUUUGGGAGGCCCACACAGGUGGAUCACCUGAGGUCAGGAGUUUGAGGCCAGCCUGUCCAACAUAGUAAAACCCCGUCUCUACUAAAAAUACAAAAAUUAGCUGGGCAUGGUGGCGCAUGCCUGUAAUCCCAGCUCUUGGAGGCUGAGGCAGGAGAAUCACUUAAACCCAAGAGGCAGAGCUUACAGUGAGUAGAAAUCAUGCCACUGCACUCCAGCCUAGGCAACCAGAGCAAGACUCCAUCUAAAGAAAAAAAAAGAAAGAAAGAAAGGGCAUUCAAAUCAGUAAAGAAGAAGUUAAACUGUCACUGGUUGCUGAUGAUAUGACUGUCUACCUUAAAACCCAAAGACUCCUCCAGAAAGCUUCUAGAAUUGAUAAAAGAAUUCAGCAAAGUUUCUGGAUACAAGAUUAAUGUACACAAAUCAGUAGCUCUUCUAUACACUACCAGCAACCAAGCAGAGAAUCAAAUCAAGAACUCAACUCCUAAUAUAACAGCUGCAAACAAGAACAACAACAACAACAACAACUUAGGAAUAUGCCUAACCAAGGAGUCAAAAGACCUCUACAAGGAAAACUACAAAGCGCUACUGAAAGAAAUCACAGAGACAAACAUAUGGAAACACAUCCCAUGCUCAUAGAUGGGUAGAAUCAAUAUUGUGAAAAUGACCAUACUGCCAAAACCAAAUUCAAUCCCUAUCAAAAUAUCACCAUCAUUCGUCACGGAAUUAGAAAAAAAAAAUCUAAAAUUCAUAUGGAACCAAAAAAAGCCCGCAUAACCAAAGCAAGACUAAGCAAAAACAAAAACAAAUCUGGAGACAUCACACUACCUGAUUUCAAACUAUACUAUAAGACCAUAGUCACCAAAACAGCGUGGUACUAGUAUAAAAAUAGGCACAUAGAUCAAUGGAGCAGAAUAGAGAAUCCAGAAAUAAUCCCAAAUACUUAAAGCCAACUGAUCUUGGACAAAGCAAACAAAAACAUAAAGUGGGGAAAGGAUACCCUUUUCAACAAAUGGUGCUGGGAUAAUUGGCUAGCCACAUGUAGGAGAAUGAAACUGGAUCUUCAUCUGUCACCUUACACAAAAAUCAACUCAAGAUGGAUUAAGGACUCAAAUCUAAGAUCUGAAACUAUAAAAAUUAUAGAAGCUAACAUUGGAAAAACCCUUCUAGACCUUGGCUUAGGCAAGGAUUUAAUAAUCAAGAACCCAAAAGCAAAUGCAAUAAAAACAAAGAUAAAGAGUUUUGGGACCUAAUUAAACUAAAAAGCUUUUGCAUGGCAAAAGGAUAAUCAGGAGAGCAAACAGACAACCCACAGAGUGGGAGAAAAUUUUCACAGUCUGUACAUCUGAUAAAGGACUAGUAACUAGAAUCUACAAUGAACUCAAAUAAAUCAGUAAGAAAAAAACAAAGAACCCCACCAAAAAGUGGGCCAAGAACAUGAAUAGAGAAUUCUCAAAAGAACAUAUACAGAUGGCCAACAGACACAUAAACAAAAAGCUCAAAAUCACUAAUGAUCAGGAAAUGCAAAUCAAAACCACAAUGUGAUACCACCUUACUCCUGCAAGAAUGGCCAUAAUCAAAAAAUCAAAAAACAGUAGAUGCUGAUGUGGAUGUAGUGAUGGGGGAACACUUCUACACUGCUGGUGGGAAUGUAAACUAGUACAGUCAGUAUGGGAAACAAUGUGGAAAUUCCUUAAAGAACUAGAAGUAUAACUACCAUUUGAUCCAGCAAUCCUACUACUGGGUGUCUAUCCAGAGCAAAGAAGUCAUUAUAUGAAAAACACAGCCAGAAAGUUGUGAGGAGAAAGAGUAUUCUGGGCCGGGAAAGAUGGCUCAUGCUUGUAAUCCCAGCACUUUGGGAGGCUGAGGUAGAUGGAUCACCUGAGGUCAGGAGUUCAAGACCAGCCUGGUCAACAUGGUGAAACCCUGUCUCUACUAAAAAUACAAAACAAACAAACAAAAAAAAUUAGCUAGGGAUGGGGGUGUGUGCGCCUGUAAUCCCAGCUACUUUGGGAGACUGAAGCAGGAGAAUCGCUUGAACCCAGGAGGUGGAGGUUGCAGUGAGUGGAGAUCACGCCAUUGCACUCCUGCCUAGGCAACAAGAGCAAAACUCUGUGUCAAAAAAAAAAAAAAAAAAAAGAGUAUUCUGAUCAGAGAGAAGAGCAAGUAAGGGCUCUGAGGCAGAAGCUUUAGCAGUAGACAGAGCAAUGAUUCAUAAAAGAUGCCCACAUCCAGUCCCCAAGACCUAUGAACAUGUUAUAUUAUACAGCAGGGGGGACACGGGUUGCAGAUGCAAUUAAGGCCACUAGUCAGCUAACCAGAAAGUGAGAAGGUCAUUGUGGAUCAUCCAGGGGUAACCAGUACAAUCACGAGGAACCUGAAAGGCAGGAACAGAGGCAUAAGAAGAGUGGCAGAGUGAGCCUGACUAUGGAAGAAGGGUCAGAAAUGCAAACUAACUGCCUUAGAAGAUGGAGGAAGGAAAACAAGAGCCAUGGAGUGUGGACAGUGCCUAGAGACUGCUAAAGGAGUGUGGACAGCCACGGAGUGUGGACAGUGCCUAGAGACUGCUAAAGGAGUGUGGACAGCCACGGAGUGUGGACAGUGCCUAGAGACUGCUAAAGGAGUGUGGACAGCCACGGAGUGUGGACAGUGCCUAGAGACUGCUAAAGCAAAGUAAAGGUUUACCCCUAAGAGCAUCCGCAAAGAAACAAAGCCCUACAGACACCUUGAUAAUUGCCCAGUGAGAUGUGUCAGACUUCAGGACCAAAGAACAGAAAGAUAGUAAGUGUUUGUCGUUUAGUCCCCUAAAUGUGUGGUCAUUGGUUACUACAACAGUGUCCUUGGCAGGUCAGAGAAACAGCAGGGAGGACAAUGUGGCUGGAAAGACAGGACAAGAAGGAGAGGACAGGAAAUGUCGUCAGAGAGGCGGUGGGGGAUGAACAGAUCACAUGGUCUCUAAAAGGCACUUAAAACUAUUGUGACAUAAGUAAACAUAAGAAGCCAGAAAGGCUUUAGAGCCAAGGAAUGGCUCUAAAUGACUUAGAUUUUCCAAGGACCACUUUGGCUGCCAUGAGGAAAACAGAUGUCAGGGUAGGAAAAGUGGGAGCAGGGCAAAAAGCCAAAAGUCAGCUGUAAAAAUCCAGGAAGAAGGGUUGGCCAUUUAGACCAGAGCAACAGAGUUGGGCAACAGACAGAAGCAAAACAGACAGGAGAGUCACGUACAAGGACACACAAGUGCUUGCUUCUUACCUAAAUUCCCUUCUUUUUGGGUUGCUGUCUCCACCAUCCAGAACUUUUCUUCCCUGGGGAAGUGGAAAGUAUCUCCAUGGAAUGGUUGAUGCCCUGUGAACAUGCAAAGUUGUAUGCUUAAUGCCAACAUAUCCUAGGGAAAAAAAUCUAGGUAAAAUUUACUCGAAACUUAGGUUCCUAAUGCAUACCCAAACUUGAACACUCUAGGAUACAAAACCACUCCUGGGCCUGACACCCCCUUACAAAGGGUGCCUGUCCUCACCCACUGAGAGCAGGUUUCUGAAAUUCUCCAGCAUCACAUCUUGGUACAGCUUCUUCUGGGCAGGGUCCAGCAAUUGCAGCUCCUCCUCGGUGAAGACCACAGCCACAUCCUUGAAAGUCACUGUCUCCUACAGCAUCAAACAUACGCAACUUCAAACUCAUGGCCAAUGACUACUGAGAGAGGGGUGGCACUGAGCGGAGGGGAAGGACAAGAAGCUGUUUUGAAUCUUAAGAGACAUAGGUCAACGUACAGAUUUCCUUUUUUUUUUUUUUUUU